ensembl:lncRNA
GCCCAUUCAAACCGCAGGGAGUUUCAAAUGGCUGUGUCCCCUAGAGACCCGGCCUAGCUCCACCAGGGGAAAAGCCGGCAUUAGAAUGGCUUCUACGAUGACGCAGAGGAAGCCAAGAGGACGCUGUCAAGGCCUAGUCAUCACUGACUCGCAGUUAGAAUGCUUGGGCAGGAAAGAACUGCCAAGAUCAGACAGCCUGGACAGACACACACACACACACACACACACCCCUUUCUUUUAAACUUAAAAGUUAUUCUCUAAAAAAAAAGUUGCUUUUUUAAAAGCUAUACAAAGUUCUUAAUGUUUCUUUGCCAACAGAGUAUAAUGGGAUUUUACAACUAUAGAAAAUAUUACCUUUGCCUAAGAAACAGUAUUUACCGGUGUGUGCACAGCUGGCUGACAAGACUGUCUACCACCCAGCACCAUAACUGCUGGAAUAAGCUAGCUCAUGUUACAGGAUUCCAAACGGGAUGAGAAGGCUACAGAGACUGGCACACUCAGGUACUCAGCCUUCUGUGACUCAAAGUCACCGUAUCUCAGCUUAUUUUCGACAACUCACAGUAAUUGCCAAGUAUUGUUAGUGAUAAGGAAAGUCCUUCUAGGGAUGAGAAGAUACUUAGCAGCACCAUUCGGCCCCUUUUAAUUCAGCUCUACCCAAGGAAUCUCAACCUUCUGCUACCUCACGUACCUUCGCGCUCCUGUUUUAAGAGGAGCCUCCCCGCUUCCAAAGAACUGCCCCGUAGCUGUGAAACGAGGCAGAAGACAGAUAAAUCCCAAUGCUGGUGACAGACAGCAACUUCACUUUGACAAAUUGGGGUUCCAAACCUCUCAGCCUAGCUCGGGAUCCUUUAUCCAGUAUCACCGCAAGCAGUAUUGUCAGAGAGUGAUUUCAUCUGGUCGCACUAGGCGCUGGACCUGAGCCGGCCUGUGCCAGCAUCUCCAUCACUGGUUAAGUACCAACCUGAAUUCACUCUGUACGCCAGGGGAGAGGAGUCUGGCUGACCUGAUGAAGAGAGUCUGAAAUGCAUGCUCCCAGUUCUCACCUCAAAUCACCAUUAAGAAGUCGCUCCUCAUUAGAGAAAGGACUGAAGGAACUGAAGGGUUUGCAAUCCCAUAAGAAGAACAACAUCAACCAACCGGACCCCCACCCCCACCCCAAAGCUCCCAGGGACUAAAUUACCAUCCCAAGAGAAUACAGGGAUGGACCUAUGGCUCCAGCUGCAUAUGUAGCAGAGGAUGGCCUCGACGGACAUCAAUGGGAGAAGAGGCCCUUGGUCCUGUCAAAGCUCAAUGCCCCAGGGUAGGGGAUUGUCUGGGUGGGGAGGUGGGAUGGAGUAGG